ACACCUCAACUCUCAUGGCUUGCCAUGAUGAGCUUGGACUUUGGGGGUUUUGUUGGCCUGUGAGCCAGCUCCUCUUAAAUGAAUUAGCUCGCCAGUGUUUGGUGGCGUCACAGGUGUGAUAACUAUCUACGCUUGUGGUUUCCCAUCAGGUAACCUUCAGCAAUGGAGGUUCACUGGAGCUCAUAAACGUCUUUCCUCUGUGAGGACACAUUUUGACC
rnacentral:misc_RNA from 1 species